GCGUGGGUAUCCGAGCUAGGUCAAAGGAGCGGGAUUUAGGGUCCCGUCGCGCAGGCGUUCGUCGGUUCGAAUCCGGCCCCACGCA
rnacentral:tRNA from 1 species